rnacentral:rRNA from 1 species
GGAUUGGUGCCUUCGGGAACUCUGACACAGGUGCUGCAUGGCCGUCGUCAGCUCGUGUCGUGAGAUGUUGGGUUAAGUCCCGUAACGAGCGCAACCCCUAUCCCUAGUUGCUAGCAGUUCGGCUGAGAACUCUAGGGAGACUGCCGGUGACAAACCGGAGGAAGGUGGGGAUGACGUCAGGUCAUCAUGGCCCUUACGGCCAGGGCUACACACGUGCUACAAUGGUGCGCACAGAGGGCUGCAAACCCGCGAGGGGGAGCCAAUCUCACAAAACGCAUCGUAGUCCGGAUCGCAGUCUGCAACUCGACUGCGUGAAGUCGGAAUCGCUAGUAAUCGUGAAUCAGAAUGUCACGGUGAAUACGUUCCCGGGUCUUGUACACACCG